CACGUAGGCACCAAGCGUUGUCCGGAUUUAUUGGGCGUAAAGAGCUCGUAGGCGGUUCAGUAAGUCAGGUGUGAAAUCUUUGGCUUAACCGAAGUCGCAUGCACUUGAUACUGAGGAUCUUGAGUUCGGGAGAGGUGAGUGGAACUGCGAGUGUAGAGGUGAAAUUCGUAGAUAUUCGCAAGAACACCAGUGGCGAAGGCGGCUCACUGGCCCGAUACUGACGCUGAGGCACGAAAGCGUGGGGAGCAAACAGG
rnacentral:rRNA from 1 species